AUUGAACGCUGGCGGCAGGCUUAACACAUGCAAGUCGAGCGGAUGAGAGGAGCUUGCUCCUCGAUUCAGCGGCGGACGGGUGAGUAAUGCCUAGGAAUCUGCCCAGUAGUGGGGGACAACGUUUCGAGAGGAACGCUAAUACCGCAUACGUCCUACGGGAGAAAGUGGGGGAUCUUCGGACCUCACGCUAUUGGAUGAGCCUAGGUCGGAUUAGCUAGUUGGUAGGGUAAAGGCCUACCAAGGCGACGAUCCGUAACUGGUCUGAGAGGAUGAUCAGUCACACUGGAACUGAGACACGGUCCAGACUCCUACGGGAGGCAGCAGUGGGGAAUAUUGGACAAUGGGCGCAAGCCUGAUCCAGCCAUGCCGCGUGUGUGAAGAAGGCCCUCGGGUCGUAAAGCACUUUAAGUUGGGAGGAAGGGCUUACAGCGAAUACCUGUGAGUUUUGACGUUACCGACAGAAUAAGCACCGGCUAACUUCGUGCCAGCCGCCGCAGUAA
rnacentral:rRNA from 1 species